GAAAUGCGAUAAGUAGUGUGAAUUACAGAAUUCAGUGAAUCAUCGAAUCUUUGAACGCACAUUGCGCCCCUUGGUAUUCCAUGGGGCAUGCCUGUUCGAGCGUCAUUUGUACCCUCAAGCUCUGCUUGGUGUUGGGUGUUUGUCCCGUCUCCGCGCGUGGACUCGCCCCAAAGUGAUUGGCAGCCGGCGUACUGGUCCCGGAGCGCAGCACAUGUCGCGCAAACGAGUGCCUUGGUACGGCGGCGUCCAUAAGCCCCUCUCUCACGCUCUUGACCUCGGAUCAGGUAGGGAUACCCGCUGAACUUAAGC
rnacentral:misc_RNA from 1 species